rnacentral:lncRNA from 1 species
UCCUCUGCACCAGAUGCAUAGUAGUCAUAAACCAUCUUUGGCAACUUCUCCUUUGCAAUAGCCUCAAACUCGGUGACAUUAGUAACCUCCAUCUUUUCAGCAACCUACUUAAAGCUGUGUUUAAGAAAAUUAGACAAAUUAAUUCAAAACCCAACAAAUUGAAACGAUCUGUCAGGUAUUUGAUGAAAAGGGAUGAAGCAACAAUUCUCAUCAAGACCAAGAAAGUACAAGUCUCAUCAUGAAUAAUACGAUUGAUGUACGAGAUAAUCAUUGAUUAACAAAGUAAACUAGUUAUUAGUUUAUUACUUUAAGGUUUAUUCAUCUAAACCAGCAGAAGAUGCGUUUAUCGAUACUUUAUUCCAUGCUUGAAAACUAUUGCAAACGAACAUUCAUCGAGUAUCAAGAUAUGAAUCUAAUUGAACCAGUGAAUAUCAGAUUCAUUUCACUCAAGUUCCAUAGAUAAACCGACAAUGAAACAGAAAACAAGCCCACCCAUCAUCAUCAAAAUCAAAUUCAUAGAGCAGAAGUGAACGUCAAUCUAAAAGAAUCCAAACCCACAUCAAUGAAACAGAGAAUAAACGAAUAAGAACUGCAUGAAACACAAAAACUCGAAAUACCCAAAUGAGUGAAGAAACAAUACACAUAGAUGUAGUACCACAAAAUCCCAGAUAAGAGAAGAACAAAUCAGACGUGGCAGAAGAACAAAUGAGGGGAGAGAGAACAUACCCUUAUCUGUGGAAAUGAAAAUGAAUGAAGGGAAAUAGUGAAAAGGGAUUAAAGAUAACAAAUAGAAGAUGGAAAGAGGAGCGAAAGAGAGAGAGAUUGAGCUCUCAAAAUGAAGAAUGCGAAAACAAACAACAAAUAUAGCAAAAGGGCGAUAGAGGAAGACCGUGAUCGGAUUGAAGGAAAAGACAAAAUGGGUGGGAUCAAAUUGGGGAAAGAGAGAGAGAGACCACAUUAUUUGGAUUGGAUUUUGAAGGUGAGCGUUAGAAAUCAAAUCUGUUUCACAGAAAAUUCUCAAAU